AUGCCAUUACAACCUAGUUCAAAUGUUACAACACAUGUUCAUUACAAGAGAAGUGCAAUUACAAUCAUGGCCAUUACAAAACUACAUCAAGUUACACAAAGAAACGUAAAAGAUCCUAAACCUAUGCUAACUUGUUCUCGAUCUUCAAGCAUCACGCUACGAUUUUCUUUAAACUCAUGCUCGCUAUCUUCACAAAGCUAUGCCAAACAAGCAUCCAAUUCUCCAUGA